rnacentral:rRNA from 1 species
GCCUAUGGCCAUACCACCCUGAAAAGGCCCAAUCUCGGAAGCUAAGCAGGGUCGGGCUUGGUUAGUACUUUGAUGGGAGACGGCCUGGGAAUAUCGGGUGCUGUAGGUU